CAGCCGUAAACUAUGCGCGUUAGGUGUAUCGGUGACCACGAGUCACCGAGGUGCCGAAGGGAAACCGUGAAACGUGCCGCCUGGGAAGUACGGUCGCAAGGCUGAAACUUAAAGGAAUUGGUGGGGGAGGCACCACAACGGGUGGAGCCUGCGGUUUAAUUGGACUCAACGCCGGGAAGCUCACCGGAUAAGACAGCGGAAUGAUUGCCGGGCUGAAGACUCUGCAUGACUAGCUGAGAGGAGGUGCAUGGCGUAGACGUCU
rnacentral:rRNA from 1 species